CCUGGUGGUCAUGGCGGGAGGUCUGCACCCGAUCCCAUUCCGAACUCGGUCGUGAAAACUCCCAGCGCCGAUGGUACUUUGUCUUAAGACACGGAAGAGUAGGUCGCCGCCAGGC
rnacentral:rRNA from 1 species